GGAGAGGUGGCUGAGCGGUCUAAAGCAACGGACUUGAAAUCCGUCGUACCAGAAAUGGUACCGUGAGUUCGAAUCUCACCCUCUCCGCCA
rnacentral:tRNA from 2 species